rnacentral:lncRNA from 1 species
GCCGGAGGGAGGCACCGAGGAGGGAGGCGCAGGCGAGGAGGAAGAGAGCAGCGUGAGUGGGGCCGACCAGGACGGGGAGAACCAGCGGAGCUCGCGCCCUGGAAGGACAGCCGAGAGCUGGAACGGAGGACCCAGGAGAUGCGGGGCUGAGGCACCGAGAGAGAAGC